rnacentral:ncRNA from 1 species
AAGGCGAAACCCGAAAAGCUUGUAAUAGAGUAGGGA